rnacentral:rRNA from 1 species
CCUACGGGUGGCAGCAGUGGGGAAUAUUGGACAAUGGGCGAAAGCCUGAUCCAGCCAUGCCGCGUGUGUGAAGAAGGCCUUCGGGUUGUAAAGCACUUUCAGUGGGGAAGAAAGCCUUGGGGCUAAUACCCUCGAGGAAGGACAUCACCCACAGAAGAAGCACCGGCUAACUCCGUGCCAGCAGCCGCGGUAAUACGGAGGGUGCGAGCGUUAAUCGGAAUUACUGGGCGUAAAGCGCGCGUAGGCGGUCUGAUAAGCCGGUUGUGAAAGCCCCGGGCUCAACCUGGGAACGGCAUCCGGAACUGUUAGGCUAGAGUGCAGGAGAGGAAGGUAGAAUUCCCGGUGUAGCGGUGAAAUGCGUAGAGAUCGGGAGGAAUACCAGUGGCGAAGGCGGCCUUCUGGACUGACACUGACGCUGAGGUGCGAAAGCGUGGGUAGCAAACAGGAUUAGAUACCCCAGUAGC